rnacentral:rRNA from 1 species
GAUGAACGCUGGCGGCGUGCCUAAUACAUGCAAGUCGAGCGAACAGACCGGGAACUUGCUCCUUCGACGUUGGCGGCGGAAGUGAGAGUAAAACGUAUGUCACCUGCCUAUAAAACUGAGAUAGCUUCGGGAAACCGUACCUAAUACCCUAUAAUAUUCAGAACCGAAUGCGUCCGUAGUGAAAGAUGCCUUUGCUAUCCCUGAUGGAUAGACCUUCGCCUAAUUAGAUGGUUGGUAAGGUGACGGCUUACCAGGUCAACAGUCAGUAGCCGACCUGAGAGGGUGAUAGGACACACUGGAAGUGGAACACGGUCCAGACUCCUACGGGAGGACGCAGUAGGGAACCUCCCGCAACGGGAGAAAGCAUGACGGAGCAAUGCGGCGUGGGUGAUGAAGGUAUUCGGAUCGUAAAACUCUGUUAUUAGGGAAGAACAACUGUGUAAGCAGGUGUGGACGUAUUGACGGUACCUAAUCAGAAAGCCACGGCUAACUACGUG